UACGGAGGGGACUAGCGUUGUUCGGAAUUACUGGGCGUAAAGCGCACGUAGGCGGAUUUGUAAGUCAGGGGUGAAAUCCCGGGGCUCAACCUCGGAACUGCCUUUGAUACUGCAAAUCUCGAGUCCGGAAGAGGUGAGUGGAAUUCCUAGUGUAGAGGUGAAAUUCGUAGAUAUUGGGAAGAACACCGGUGGCGAAGGCGGCUCACUGGCUCGUUUCUGACGCUCAGGCGCGAUAGCGUGGGGAUCAAACAGG
rnacentral:rRNA from 1 species